rnacentral:piRNA from 1 species
CAGAUUGUGGUCUCCCAGAAGAUGGGCA